rnacentral:misc_RNA from 1 species
AGAUAUUGCUGACAGAGGAACUAGAAGAAGAAGAAGAGGAAGAGAGCUGAACCGGAAGUAGCUGCUAAUGAUGACGGCGGCGAGGGCGAGGUGGCAGAGGAGCCCAACGGUGGAGAAAAGGAGGUUCCGGCCGUAGUGCCGCAGUUGAAUGGAUCUGGUAUCAUGGCCGAGGAGCUUUUCUCGCAGCUCCCGCUGUCCGAACAGACAAUGAUGGCGAUCAAUGAGUUUGGGUUCGAGAGAAUGACGCAGAUUCAAGCUCGGGCAAUCCCGCGACUGAUGGAAGGAGAAGAUG